UGUAGUGGUGGGGGAUAGGUAGAGACUUUACAGGAGUUUUCAUUAAUCGAGGACGGCUGGCGAGUCCAUGGUGAACGGUAAUCACCUGGCAGGUUCGUGAGUGUGUGCUCUCCACGCUCUCCCCCCCCCUCCGCUCGAGGGGCCGUAGCACCUACUACGAGCCCCUUAGCAGCUACUACGAACCCCGGUAGUAGCUGCUAAGAGCUCCGGUUGUAGCUGCUGGAGCUUGAAGUUAGCUACGGAUGCUUGUAGCUGCUGCUAAGAGCUCCGGUUGCAGCUGCUGGAGCUUGAAGUUAGCUACAGAUGUUUGUAGUAGCUGCUACAAGCUCAGGUUGUAGCUGCUGGAGCUUGAAGUUAGCUACGGAUGUUUGUAGUAGCUGCUAAGAGCUCCGGUUGUAGCUGCUGGAGCUUGAAGUUAGCUACGGAAGUUUGUAGUAGCUGCUACGAGUGUCGGCCGUAGCGAACUUCCAGCCCAGUGCUGCCGUGGGAAAAAAAUUAGCGGCACAGUACUAACGGGAGGACACGCGAGUGGGGGGGAAAGCACAACACUCACGAACCUAACUUCCAGCUGCAGCUGCUGCUAUGGCCGCUCGUUCAAGAUACCGGAGUAUGUUGUUCUCAUAAUGUGCGGGAAUAGAACGAUUAUUCAUUACCAGCCCUAGUUUGGGGAAAUGUGUCCUUGUAUCCUUGUAUGCAUGACAGCAGUACAAACAUGAAUAACAUUGCUGCUUUUGGUGUUCAGGCAAGCACAUCUGUUCACGGUGCUAGGCUACAUCACGUAGCAUGCCAGACGGACCCACCACAGAUGCGCACACAUGGAACGCAGCCUUCUAUGAAAACACUGCGACCUUACUACAAAAGUACAGGCCCACAGAAAACUGUGCUGCACUGAUGUCGGUGUUGGGACCUCAGCUAUAAGAGACCUUGCUUGGAGGAGGGAGAGGACAAGAUGUGACAUUACAUGGAUAACCUGUUGGACCUCAUCUUUCACGAGGUUUUUCAGGACCCGGCCCCAUAUGUGAAUGAGGUGUUGAAGAUCUCAAAAGCUGAGGAUCUCUCUGCCUAGUAUGAGAAACCUGACAAGCAGGAAGUUAUAGCCAGCUAUGUUUCGAGUUUCAAUCAAGGGCAGGUCUGAACCCUGUAUAACUUCCCUGAGCAUCAGGGAACACUCUGCUUAUCUGGAGCACCGAGCAGGAGGGCAGGACCACCCUGAUUCUCCGGCCCAGAGGGCUCCAACCCCAGCUCACAAAGCUUCUGUACGCCAAAUACCUGUAACGGCUGAGCAAAGUUCACAUUGUAUUUAGAGAUUAAAGGUGACACACAAAUAUAAAGUGUUCCUUUGUUUACAGUAUAGCUACUGAUGGCACAAAUUGUAUUUUUGUAAUGAAUGUAUUCAUUAUACUUGGUAUUUUUUGUAUUUAUUACCUCUGUCCCAGCCAGUACAUUUAAUAACUAUGUUUAAAAAGCUUUGUGGCCUUCUUUCUAGCAAUCUUUCUGACAAUAAAAGUUUAUAGAAACAGUUGUGUGCUUUUAAUGUUUGAUA